rnacentral:rRNA from 1 species
CCGUAGCCCAAGAGAUCGGGAUAACACCUGGAAACAGAUGCUAAUACCGGAUAAUAACAGAUGAUGCCUAUCAACUGUUUAAAAGAUGGUUCUGCUAUCACUCUUGGAUGGACCUGCGGUGCAUUAGCUAGUUGGUAGGGUAACGGCCUACCAAGGCGAUGAUGCAUAGCCGAGUUGAGAGACUGAUCGGCCACAUUGGGACUGAGACACGGCCCAAACUCCUACGGGAGGCAGCAGUA